CCUACGGGAGGCAGCAGUGGGGAAUUUUGGACAAUGGGCGCAAGCCUGAUCCAGCAAUGCCGCGUGAGUGAAGAAGGCCUUCGGGUUGUAAAGCUCUUUUGUCAGGGAAGAAACGGUGGGAGCUAAUAUCUCCUACUAAUGACGGUACCUGAAGAAUAAGCACCGGCUAACUACGUGCCAGCAGCCGCGGUAAUACGUAGGGUGCAAGCGUUAAUCGGAAUUACUGGGCGUAAAGCGUGCGCAGGCGGUUUUGUAGGUCUGUCGUGAAAGCCCCGGGCUCAACCUGGGAAUUGCGAUGGAGACUGCAAGGCUUGAAUCUGGCAGAGGGGGGUAGAAUUCCACGUGUAGCAGUGAAAUGCGUAGAGAUGUGGAGGAACACCGAUGGCGAAGGCAGCCCCCUGGGUCAAGAUUGACGCUCAUGCACGAAAGCGUGGGGAGCAAAUAGGAUUAGAUACCCUGGUAGUCCACGCCCUAAACGAUGUCUACUAGUUGUCGGGUUUUAAUUAACUUGGUAACGCAGCUAACGCGUGAAGUAGACCGCCUGGGGAGUACGGUCGCAAGAUUAAAACUAAAUGAAUUGACGG
rnacentral:rRNA from 1 species